rnacentral:lncRNA from 1 species
CACCUGUAAAACUCAGUGGGUGUAUCUCAGACUUGACUUCGUGACUCAGUCAAACUAUGUCAGGACAGAUGAAUUGUCAGCACUUUUAGAGGCCUGCAAUAAACCAAGUAAUUCUAGAAGAGUUUGAGGCUUUGGACAACCCUAAUCAACCAAGGACACGAGGACGGCAGCAGUGUUGGCACCAGGACCCUCAACACUUCUGAUGCCCUGAAAGUUGGACCCCUUGCACAUGUCAGCAGCUGCAACAAUGGUGGUGGUACCUUUGGUGGGCAGUGAUGACACGGCUUGGAGGACUGGCAGCAGUUAGCUGCUUGUAUCAGGGAGAGCACAGCCCUCUGAACUUCUGAGAAUUCUCUGAAGAAUUGAAGGGCACAUAGUCAUUGGCA